CAUGCAUGUCUCAGUACGAGCCGUAUUAAGGUGAAACCGCGAAAGGCUCAUUAAAUCAGUUAUGGUUCCUUAGAUCGUACCCACAUUUACUUGGAUAACUGUGGUAAUUCUAGAGCUAAUACAUGCAAACAGAGCUCCGACCGGAGACGGAAGGAGCGCUUUUAUUAGAUCAAAACCAAUCGGUGUCGGGUUUACUCGUCAUCGUACACCUUGGUGACUCUGAAUAACUUUAUGCUGAUCGCACGGUCUCGCACCGGCGACGCAUCUUUCAAAUGUCUGCCUUAUCAACUGUCGAUGGUAGGCUCUGCGCCUACCAUGGUUGUAACGGGUAACGGGGAAUCAGGGUUCGAUUCCGGAGAGGGAGCCUGAGAAACGGCUACCACAUCCAAGGAAGGCAGCAGGCGCGCAAAUUACCCACUCCCGGCACGGGGAGGUAGUGACGAAAAAUAACGAUACGGGACUCAUCCGAGGCCCCGUAAUCGGAAUGAGUACACUCUAAACCCUUUAACGAGGAUCAAUUGGAGGGCAAGUCUGGUGCCAGCAGCCGCGGUAAUUCCAGCUCCAAUAGCGUAUAUUAAAGUUGUUGCGGUUAAAAAGCUCGUAGUCGAACUUGUGUCCCGCGCCGCCGGUUCAUCGCUCGCGGUGUUUAACUGGCGUGUCCGCGGGACGUCCUGCCGGUGGACUUAGUCCUUUAGGGGGCGGUCCAACUUCAAAUCCCACCGCGGUGCUCUUUACCGAGUGUCGAGGUGGGCCGGCACGUUUACUUUGAACAAAUUAGAGUGCUUAAAGCAGGCUAAAACUUUGCCUGAAUACUGUGUGCAUGGAAUAAUGGAAUAGGACCUCGGUUCUAUUUUGUUGGUUUUCGGAACUCCGAGGUAAUGAUUAAUAGGAACGGAUGGGGGCAUUCGUAUUGCGACGUUAGAGGUGAAAUUCUUGGAUCGUCGCAAGACGGACAGAAGCGAAAGCAUUUGCCAAAAACGCUUUCAUUGAUCAAGAACGAAAGUUAGAGGUUCGAAGGCGAUCAGAUACCGCCCUAGUUCUAACCAUAAACGAUGCCAGCUAGCGAUCCGCCGACGUUCCUCCGAUGACUCGGCGGGCAGCUUCCGGGAAACCAAAGCUUUUGGGUUCCGGGG
rnacentral:rRNA from 2 species